rfam:Spinacia oleracea cultivar SynViroflay scaffold93698.con0001.1, whole genome shotgun sequence.
AUGGCUUUCUCAGUCUUUUGGCUAUGAUCAAGUAUAGUAUUUGUUCUUAUCAGUUUGAUAUUUGAUGAUUGGGUCUCUCACUCAUAAUGAUACUAAAUUCAUUUUUUAGAGGAUUUUUCCGGAUACUGGGAUCCUCAAGUCUGUCGUAUAGCCUGGCAUGCCCCACCAAAUCCAUACGAAUAUUUU